UACGGAGGGUGCAAGCGUUGUUCGGAAUCAUUGGGCGUAAAGCGCGUGUAGGCGGCUUGGCAAGUCGGUUGUGAAAGCCCGGGGCCCAACCCCGGAACUGCAUCUGAUACUGCCUGGCUAGAGUCCCGGAGAGGAAGGCAGAAUUCCCGGUGUAGGGGUGAAAUCCGUAGAUAUCGGGAGGAAUACCAGCGGCGAAGGCGGCCUUCUGGACGGUGACUGACGCUGAGACGCGAAAGCGUGGGGAGCAAACAGG
rnacentral:rRNA from 1 species